AAAAAAGGCAAUACAUUUUUCACUGUGACGAAUCAUCAUUCUCCAGCCUGCCCAACCUGUACGUGCGCUACAUGCAGGCAGUGUAACGCUGUCUCAUGGAGGCGCUUGUUCAGGAGUGACAAUGGAAGUCUAAUCCAGAGCACAGUGAUGGUUUUGGUCUGAAACACACUCCUACCUACAUAAGGAAAUUUCACCACAAAAUACCUAUCUGAGCUGUUGCCCAUUGUAGAUAGGUGGAUAUCUGGCACCUUCUGCACUUUUGCCAUUGAGGUGGCUGUGAUAGCAAAGGCUUCUCCACUCUUAGCAAGGAAUUGCUUUCACAUCAGACAUCCCUCUAGGUCUCCUGUGUAAACAGGACUGAAAGCUAAACCAUCUAUAUUCUCAGUAUUUCCCUGAAUCCAAAUUCUGGAGGAACGAAGGGUUAAAAACAUUUAAAGCAUUAAGAAAAAAGUCUUAUUAAUUAAAAAUGAAUGAAACCCAUCUUAAGCCUCUUUGGCUUUAGCUAUGCUGAGAAAAAACAUCACUGAAUCAACUCAUAACUUGCAGAAAAUGCAGUUGCAUUUAAUGACAUGGUAGCUUGUCACAAAUUUCUGCCCUUGCCCAUUCCAAGGACAAAAUGAAGUUUAAUGUUGUGAUAGUUAGAAAGCAUUUUACCUCAUACAUUUUAACGCUGCAUUUUCCCAGCGUAGUGUUGGGCUUAGUUAUUCUAAUUUUAUCUUCAGUAAUGGGUUCCUAAUUUUAUUGUUGCGGCUGUUGCUCCCUCAGGGCAUUUGGAAAUGAGAAUCAGCAUUUAAAAAAACACCUUAGCUAUAACAGACUUUUAAUAAUGAAAUCAAUGAAAGGAGUAUUCCUGACUAUAAAUCCUGAACACUUUAAGAAGGACACAUGAAGCAUCAUUACCAUUUGUUUAGUGCUGAGUUUUCCAGCCCUGUUGCAUUUAACCACGUUUUUGUCCUGAGGAUAUUCUGCCCAGAUCUGCCAAACCCCAUUCAGAAGGGCUGGUGCAUGACAUUUUUUUUUUUCAACCAAAACAUUCGUCAGAUGUGGCAGAGUCCAGGAAACCUUUUGAAAUAACAGAGGAUUGUGGUAACCAGUGUAGAAUUGUGGCAUUAUGACCAAGAAGCUGCUUUGAAGUAACAGCAGGCCUUUCCUCUGACACAGAAAUAGGUGCAAUUUUUCCAUCACUUCUGUGGGAAAGUUGGUGACACCAGAUGUAGGAGGAAGCAUGUCUAUGGCUAGGUGGGACUCUGGGUUUCCAGCAGCUCUCUUCAAAAAGGUGAUCAGUGUCUCUGUAUGUGUGCGCCCCUGGGAGAUGGGCUUUUCUCCUGGGAAAAGUCUCUGGGUCUCCUCACUGGCUGCAGCUUUUCUGCUCUGUCUGCCCUGUGCCUCCCCAGCACCUGUGUCUCAACCACUGAUGGCAUUUGGAGGUAAAAGGAAAGCCUUGGUGCCACAGCUCUGGGAUGGCCAGGUGCUCUCUUCCUCUGCUGCCCUUCUCCACAUCAGCAGGGACCAUCAGCAAAGGUGUCUGUGGGCCCCACGUCUGCAGACUUCUCAAUUCCCAUGUCUGUAGAUUACUCAAGUAGGAUAAUGUGUUUAAAAAAGGAUUAUCUUGCUGGCUCUUGUUUGCCAAAUAUCAGCCUGGAGCAAGUUUUUACAGCUGAGUUGCAAUGGCCUGAUAGCAGUGUUUAUGAUAGAAAUUCUGCCAGCUAUUUAAUGCCAGGAACGCGCUGGUCGCUUAGUCACUGGAAGACUUUGUUGUCAGAAUGACAUUUUUUUUUUUUUCAGAUGGGAAUAUGUUUGGUGAAUAUUGCUUGGUGCUUCUAAGAGCAAAGGCUCCAGCUGGUUAGUGGUUAGCCAGCCCCACGGGCACUGCUUGCAAACGCCCCAUGCAGCUCUGCCAGGAACAAUAGCGGCUAAUGCUUGCGCAGCACUUCUCCUCGUCAGGCUGAUCACAGCGGUGGUGGCACCCGCGCUGCACAAAGCUGUGGGUGCUGCAGAGCUGCCACCACAGCUGUCUGGUAGUACAGGGCAGGAAGGGGAUGGUGGGGUGCAGGACAUAUGCUGCCCAUCGCUCCUGUGUGUUGCGUGAAGAAGAACAGCGCAUCCCAGAAAAGGCACUCAGCACUUACCAGGGCUAGCUACCGCACUGUGCCCACCUGGAGGUAGGAAUCCUCUAUCCUAUGGACAAGCAUGUCUUGGGAUAUUUUACAUGGGAAAUAUGGCCUUGAAGUACCACAGCUAUGGCUUCCUAAACUCUUUUUUUACUGCUCUUCAUGUCACAGAAUCAGAGAGUGGGGAUUUGUUCCUUUAAGGCAAUUUUUUUUUUUUUUUGAUUUCUCAUCUGAUUUCUCACACUUGGAGCACUUCUGGGUAAAGAAUACCAAAUAUGCAAAAUUAUAUAGUGCUUCUACAGUGGAGUUACUAAGCCCCAUUCAAUCUUGUGCCCUUGAGCAAAAAUUAAAAAAAAAAUAAUGACAAGGCAACCUCAUGGCAGUGGACUUUGCCCUCGUGGAAUUGCAGGAUAACCUUUCUGUGGAUAUGCCCUUGGGAGAUACUGAGAGCCAACAGCCUCACAUGUUGGUAUGGACAAAAGCUACCUAGAAUCUAGAUUAAAAGGAAAAUGCGUUUGCUGAGCUGCUCUGGGUAACACAACAGCUCCUACACCAAUGUGUUUGUUGUCAUUGGCCUGGUACGAGCAGCAGGGUUUGUUCAGCUCAUACUCAGUCAUAUAAAAGAACAUGAAAAAUGACACUGUGAUCCAAGACCACGGAGCUUCAGGUUACGUGGUACAUUGCCUGCUUUCAGUUAAGCUCAAUUCAAAGGAAAUUAUUGCCAGUUGUGUUUCAUUAGUGUAUUGAAAAAAAGGCUGCGUUUAUGUUUUCCAGAAAGUUGCUGAAUCACAUCACUGUGCAGAAUAUGUUCCUCAAAUUGUGUCUCUCCAGUAAUGCAAGGAGGAAAAAAAAAAAAAAAAAAAAAAAGGCAAACCCAUAUCAAGACAUGAAACCCUUUACAUGGGUUUUACAAUAAAAAUAAUGCCACCUUUAUUUAAAGCCUUGUGUUGCAGUGCCUGGGAGUUGAAGGGCAUAGAGUGUUCCUCUUCUGUUCCACUGCUUCAUGACCCUUGCUUAACUAUUUAUGCUGCAAUCCUAAAACCUGCUCUUGCUCCCCAGGAGACAAACACUGAAGUAUUAUUAGACCUUAGCUGCGUGGGGGGGAGCUCUUAGUAUAAUUUUAAUGUAUAAAUAUUGUAUGCUCUGUGCCUGUUAAGUUUUACAGACACACAAGUUAGCUGGUGCACACUCUGGUGGCCAGUCUUUCUGCAGAGGGAGCUCACAGGUAUGCCACAGCAGCUGUCUAUUGCUUAGGGGGGAUGAAAUUCUUCUAAAUCAAGGAAUCACAGAAUCACAGAAUUGUCUAGGUUGGAAGAGACCUAAAGAUCAUAGAGUCCAACCUCUGACUAGCAAGUCCUCCACUAAAAUAUAUCGCUAAGCUCAACAUCUAAACAUCUUUUAAAGACCUCCAGGGAAAUCUCCAUCCUGCAAUGUGCAGAGAGAAGGCUGGGAUGGGACAGGCCAAUGACUGCAGAAGAGGGAAAUCACAGCAAUUUUUGACUCCUUGCUGGGCUCAGGUGUGAACUUGAAGAUGUGUGCAGGAGGAAAAGAAGGCAGAUGGGCAGCUGCAGCCCUCUUGCCCAUGCCCUGGGCAAGUAGGUGUUGCUGCUGCCCCUCCUCUUUGCAGGGUAACUCGAUCUAGCCCUAGGACUGCUCCCUAAGACAUUUUCAUCCUCUGUCUUUGGCUGUCCUUCUCUCAGGGUUAUCACAAGCUGAAAACGGCUGUCACUCAGGAAAACCGGGCGACAUGCUCCCUCUAUUGGCUUUUCUGGUUGUUGCUCUCAUGAGCUGGCUGUUCAGGGGAUCAGAGCCACAUGCAGGCUUUGAAGGGCGGUGAAAACUCGUCUGACCUUGUUCUGUGUUGAGCACUAUUGGAAAUCUGCUGCAGCGAAGUUUAUGUACUUAUGUCACUUAGGACACAAAUGAAUUGCUUUAACUCAAGCUUAAAAGCAAAACCCUGCCAAAGAUGACAAAUCUAUAUACCACCAGUUAAAUGACUAAUGAUUUAUUUGUCUGUGAAGCUUCUGGUGAAAGCUGAAGCAUAAUGAAAGAAAAAAUAAUAAGAGGCAAUCCCCACAAACAGCAGAAUGAGCAAAUUUCCUGUGUAUGAGCCGGGGCAACAUCAGAGCGGGAUGUGCAGAGCAGCUGGUGUGGCUGUUUGGGCCACUCGGCAGGACCAAGAGGACCACGCUCCGCGCUGGCUGCAGGGCAGAGGAGGGAGCUGCCAGCAGCCACCUCUGGUAUCAGACUUACGCAAAUCAAACCAUGUCACUGCUGCAUAGAAAAUACCCACAUUUCUUUCUUGAAUUGAUGAGAGGAGCACUGCAGAUGUGAGGACGUGGACAAAAGUAGCCAGUAUUUCCUCUCCUCUCUACAUGCUAAUCAGCCAUGCUAAUGGGACACUGGCUAAUCCCUCUGGCUUUUGAAUUGAGAAAAGAAAUGCUCCUCUUCCCAGUAACUAAUGAAUCAUCCCUUUUAGUACAUGGCAUGCACGACUGCAUUGUUAAAAGCAGUCUUAAUCACUCACUGAGAAAAAUGAUAUUGAUCAUUUCUCCCUUUUAGAGAUGUUGUUAACUGUAAGCCUCGGGAACUCUGACUCACACUCGCUGUGUGCUGCAGCAAGCCCAGAAUGACUACAGUAGAUUUGUAGCUAGUUAUAGAAGCCCCCUGAGUCUUAUUCUUUGUGUCUUCCUAGUAUGGCUAUAAUGUUGAAAGAUGCUAGAUUUCUUGGCUUUGUACCUUUCUAGGGAUCUCUGGUCUGCAGACAGAUUUGGACUGAACUUUACACCAAAGUUCGAAGAGGGGAUGUACUUUUGGUAGGCAACUGACUUCUAAUGAGAACAGAGCAGAGCAGUUCCUGAACGGGAGGAACGGUACACUCCAUUUUGCCUUUCGUUCUGCACAUCUGAUGGACAAGCUACACGUACAGCAGUUCAUCCUGCUUUAUGAGCAUAGGACUAUGUAUCAACAAGACAGUGGAACGAGGAAGAAGAUUUAAUAAGCGUACAUUUAAAAGUCCUUGACAGCUUCCUGGAAAGAGGCUGAAUGGUUAUGAAGUGAGAAAUACAUUCUGUUGUUGUCUAGGAAUUGCCAAUGGCAGAGCAAACAAAGUAAAUAGAGAAAAACUUUUCAACCUGAUCGAAAAAAAUGUAUCUGUUGUUGUUUCAAGUAUAGACAGAUGUACUGAUAGAGGUACCUGUGUACUCCUUGCAUAGAAAAUACCACACUGAAAGACUGAAGAUUGUUACCAAAGUCAAAUGGUCAAGUUUUCAGCUGUUGGGGAAAGCAGGAAUCAAGACAGCCCACAUCCUCUUAAAUCAGCCCUUUUGUGCACGUAUUUGUAUUAUAUGAGUAUGAUAUGGCUGAAUUAUGUUAUUACAACCAGGUUAUUUAUUAGGACAGGACCUGAACCUGUUAAUUGCUCCACAAAUGCACAGGAAGAUCCGGGGCCUCCACUGGGGGCAUGUAAGGACAGUUCUGACUGUCAGUGCCUGAAAGGAUGCUUGCUGUUACCGAUGCUUUCUGUUAUUUCCCCUAAAUAGCCCUUCUCAUUCACUCUGUGCAGAGACUGCCCCCAUUUGUUGCCCAGUUCUGACACCGAGUGACACGCUGCCAUCCUGCAGGUCCCCGCCGUCCCACUGCUGCCUUCCUCAGCUGCUGGAAAACGCAGCUUGCCUCUGCUGACAGCAGACUCUCAGGAGGCAGGAAGAGGGCUGCCUGAUGGACGUGGUCACUGGAUGGAGGUGUGCUGUCAUGGGGGAGCAGCUGCCAGGAUCUGCCCUUGUGUCAGCUCAGCCCUCAGACAUAAACCGCCGUCAGGAAGUGGAUGUUCCCAGUGGUAUCAUGAGGAAAGAAAUGACAGAGGGAGCCUCUGGAAGAAGAAAGAAAUGACUUGGGGAUACCUCUGGAGCAAAGCCCCAGGCUGCCAGAGUUGUUGCAAGGUCUGACUGCCCUGAGGGUGCAGAGGGUGGAGAGGCUCCGGUAGAGCCACAAAUCCCAGCCAUCCUCUGUGGUCAGUGAGAAAUACCAAAUAGUAACUGUACAAAGUUCCAGCCUCUACAUAGUUUUCUCUCAGUAGAAAAUAACCUGGCUCUUGGCAAAGAAAAAUGUACUGACCUGUUUUAAUCAUCUGUAAAUGUUUUCACGACAAAGCAACAGUUACAGUAGCCAGCACUUGUUCUUUGUAAGUAGGGUAGCAGAUGUCAGGAAACCAACAUCUUUAAUAGCAAUCUGCAAUGUGAUGUUUGAAUUCCUGACUGCAAAUUCAGCUUAAGGUCUCUGUAAUACUCCUAAAAUAUACUUCAGUUAGGAACAUCAUUCAGCAUCGUACUUUCUGCUCAGAUCUGAGAGUACUUUUUAAUACUUGCUUUUUGUUACAUUCAUAAAAAUAGUAAUUAAGCAUCAAUGGGUCCUUUAUAAUACAGGACUCUUGGAUCACUUCACUAAAUUACUCAGUACAACUAAUUGCCCAGCACUGCACAAGGCCCAAUUUCUGUUUCAGAGGCCUUCUCUGUAAACCCCCAGUGAGACUGAGAUAUCUCCUCAUCUGGUAUCCCAAUACGUAAGGUGUAAGAUUGUGACUCUCAAUAGACUUGAUCUUUUUCCUCCUAGAUCCUAUGCAUGUCUAUGGGCAGGCCCAGGUCUUCCUGGAAGACCUCAGAACUGGGCCCUGGGGUCGCUCUGGCUGUCACACUCAUCCAGGCCCACUGCUGCGGCCUCUCACAGUCUGUGACAUCUACAUGGACAUACUGUCUGCCUUUCCACGUGAACAGAGCGUCUUCAUUACUCAUUACUGGAAAUCUCAGUAUUUGAUCAGAAAUUGCUAAUAUGAAUUAAAUAUGCCAACUUCAAACAGCACACCUGUUUCCACUUCUUACUUCUCCAAAUCACCUGUCGAACUCUACAAGAGAUUUUGUUUUUCUAAGCACAUAUUCUAGCCAGUUAAACCACCACCACUGAGACAUUUUGCAGGUUGGAUGGUUUUAAUUGGUUUUCCAAACUUUAAUCUUAAAAAGAUUUUUUCUUUAGAAUAUGCUUUUUCUUGCUUAUUUGGUUCAUAAACUUUUUUGAGGCAGAGACUGCCCAUGCUAUGGACUUGUAUAGUAUAUAAUAUCCAGUUUUGGAAGAGCCAUUUUAGUAUCAUUAUAAUGCCAAGCAGUAAAUAAGGAGUGAACAGUUAUUUUCUGAGCAUAUGUAUCAAUGCCAUUCCUUCAAGUGCUCUCAAGAAUCAUUUAUUUCUUCUGCAUUGUUCUUGCUGUUACAGCUACCUAACAGCCCUCCAAGAAAGGACAGGUAUGGAGGCCAGGCCAUGGUUCCACUGGGUGGUAAAUCUGGCUUCAGGGUACUUAAAUACAGAUUAGAAAAGUUACCAGCAUGAAUUAUAAAAAAUACAAGUCUGGUGCAAACUCAUCCGACCUAAUAAUUUAACAUUGUUUUAAAGCAGUAGCUUUAUUUAUUUAUUUAUUUAUUUAUUCAUUCAUUUAUUUAUUUAUUUAUUUAUUUUCUGGCCAGCUUUAUAAUGGACAUGAUGAUUUCAUUUUAUUUAUUUAUUUAUUUUGCUUGCAAUCAACUUACAGUAAGCUAAAAGCACAAAAUUUCUUUAACACUAUAUCCCACACUCCUGGUAGUUCAGAAGAAACAGAAGCACAUUGGUGCACACACAUUUGAUUCAGAUUAAAAUUGUAUUGUCAGUUGACCCAGUAACGCAUAUAGCUGGCAUUAAUGAAAGGAAAGCCUCAGCUGUUGAA